GGGGAUGCAUUUGUAUCGACAAGAAUUGUACUUUAAAAACUGCAAGCCGGCCAUGAUUCAAAGCCGUAAAAGAGGAUCAAAAAUACAUGGUGAUGGUAUAACCAAAGCCCGUGGACUUAUGCGUCAAUUCGCAGACGUCUUCACACCAAAAGCACCUAGUGCUUAUGGCGUGUUAACUGCUUAAAAAACAGUCGCUAUUCAUGCCGCUUCUUUUCCUGAACGGAUUAGGCAUGGGUAUAAACACAGUUUGGGAUAGGACAAUAAGAGUGAUUUAAUUAUUGCCCAAAAAAUAAAUCUUGGAAUUGCUGUUCCCGUUAGUAGGUUACCAGCAAGACGACAAUUAAGUGCUAACUACGCUUGUAGAUGUUUUUGAAUAUGAUUUUUGCACGGGGGCUCAUUACCCCCCAUCUCCACAU
rnacentral:tmRNA from 1 species